GCUUCGUACAGAUCUCACUUGUCGAUUGAUUUGAUUUGCCGCAUUGGAUGAUAUUUGGGUCUGUAAUUUGGGUUUGUAGUCGUUGAAAUUGCACAUCUAUAGAAGCUGAAAUCAUUGUUAUUAUUAUGGUGAGGAAUCUUGAUACAAGUUGUUUUUCUGGUCGGCGGCUGUGGUCGGCGGCUAAAUGUCCCGCCAUUCGUGUUCCCCUCCUAAGCUGCAGGAUGUGGAGCGGGUCGCCGAGGGGGAGGACUAAGGCGAGACGUUGCCAGCAUGCCCCGUCGCCGUCAAGGCCCUACACGCCGACCAGUGCCGUACAGAUCUGUCGUGGCCGAUGCAGCAGUGACAAGCGAUUUGGAGGGAAAAAGCUGAUCCAGCCAUGGUCCUCGCCUAGGAGGAGGACGAGUUCCAUCACACCAGCAGCAGUUCAGGAUGUAAUCGGGAUUGUCAUUCAAAAAAAAGGAAAUCGGGACUGAUCUACACAAGAGGCGUCAUGUGGAUCUAUAGUAGGCUAUGGUAAAUCGGGACUGCUAUGUCAUGCUGAUCUACACGAGUUGAUGUACGGGUUCAAUGAGAUAUGUAUACCUUCUUUGCCGACGAGUGUGGCGGCUUCGGUGCACCUGACUUUGUCGAUGAAGGUGGGGGCUUCGAUGCACGUGACUUGGACUGCUUCGUGACUGACUGUGCAGGCCUGACGGACGCAGCAGGAUGAUAGGGAGACAUAUGACGGUGGUGGUGAUGGUGAUGGCGAGAUUGGUUGGUUCUGCUCAAGGUUCAAGGAUGGGAUUCAAGGAGGGAGGCUGGGCUGUGGUGAGGUUUAGGUUGAUGCGUACAAAGCAUAUAUAUAGGCUGGGUACACGAUGGUGUAGGUUACAAUCUAGUCAUUUAUUUCUUGCCGAAGAAUAAACCCGUGUUUUGUUUUAUUGUUGAUGGGAUUGGAAGUAACUUUC